rnacentral:rRNA from 1 species
UGGCGGCACUAGCGCGGUGGUCCCACCUGACCCCAUGCCGAACUCAGAAGUGAAACGCCGUAGCGCCGAUGGUAGUGUGGGGUCUCCCCAUGCGAGAGU